CGCUAGCUUGUCUGCCGGUGCAAGCAAGCAAAGUAGCAUGUGCUUCUUCCCGUGCGUGUCGCGUGUCAGAUAAGCCUCCUCCUUCGGGUUUUCAGCCAAUCAAAUUACGGCGUUUCUUGUACUGUCGCGUCCUGGCCGUCGGAAUCGAUCCAAAUAGCAGCACAAUUCGCUAAAAUAUUGCGUACCUAGUAUCAAGUACGCUAGGUAUCAAGUACCUAGCGUCCCCCCCUAAAUCUACGCCCAUGACCACCGCAGAUGUGAAGGGAACACCUGUUGGCUUGAAAACCAGUUGGCUUGUAACACCGGAGGAUAGGACUAGCCAAACAGCUAUACAAGUAACUUUGCUUAACGUUGGUAAUAAGGGUUAUGCGGAACGCCCAGCGUUCGAACCGGAAAACAGAUGUAAUCGUUUCCGCUUCUCACUGCCGUACACAUCUGCUGCGCUAAAUGAUCCAAAUUACAAGUCUUGUGCUAACUGUUAGCUACGUUUUGCUCAUUACAACAACAAUCUUAUUUAUGAUACAACUUAAUUGUAGGCUGUUCGUUUUCAUUAUAAUGUCAGAAUGUUAAAAUAUCAGAAAUGGCAACAUCCGAACAGCAGUUUUUGUUGUGUGCCGAGGUGCUCUGUGUCGGGGAUAAAUAACUCUGGGGUUAGUUUUCACCAGUUCCCUAAGGAUGAUCCAGUCAGGGCGAUAUGGGUCUGAAACAUAAGGCGUGAUAAUUUUGUCAUAAGGAGACACACAACUGUCUGCAGUCGGCAUUUUAUGCCAGAAAUUAUAAUUGAAGGGGGCCGACGGCGUUUGAAACCUGGGGCGAUUCCGGUGUUGUUCGACUGGAACAACUUCAGCCUGCCGGUCGCUCGGCCAAGCGUGUGGCAGCGAACACAGCGGCAAGCGGAGGAUGAGGAGCUGAUCGAUGCCAGCGUGUCUCUGAUGUGUCAUGAUUAUGAUAUGAGACCAGAUCCUUCAGCUCUUGAUCUUGCAUGCGAGAAAAUCGACGCACAGCAGCAGGCCAUCGUAGAGCUACAGAAGCGAUUGCAGGAGUUGUCUUUACGGCAGUCCUUUGGACUAGAAAGGUUCAAGACCUCCGAUGAGGACAUCAGGUUUUACACAAGAUUGAACCUGCCACAAGGAGAAUUGUCCGUGUUGGACAAUCAUCGACAACCUCAGAUCCUGAUACGACCGCUGACCUACCACGUAGACCAAGCCGUUGUCUACCGCUGGUUGAUGAGUUGUUCCUCUUUCUGGUGUAUCUGUCUCUGAAGGAGAAGGAUCUAGCGGACCGCUUCAACAUACACCAGUCAACUGUUAGCAGAACAAUUAGAACCUGGGCUAAUUUUCUGUACACAGUUUUGGGUGCUGUGGGCAUUUGGAUGUCCCCUGAUGCAGUCCGUGCCAUGAUGCCUUGUGUGUUCGAAAUGUUACGGGUUGGUGGUGGUGGUGGACCCAAGUGCACAACACAGACACGCCAAAAAACAGAGGGAUGGUCCAGAGGGGUUUAAUGUUGGGGUAGGUGCAGAGGAGACUGAUGGUGAUGACAAAAACAGACAGGACGGCAGGGUAGGCUGUACGGGGUCUGGCUGGGAGGCAAGGUUGGUGAUCCUGGAGGCACAGGCAAAAAGUUAGUUCAGGAAUAACACAACAAAUAGUCUUAACAGGAACCGGGAGCAUACUACCGAGGGUAGACGAAACUAUUAUCCGGCGAUGAAUGAUGUGAAAACCAGGGUUGAUAAACUGCAGGGCUGAUGAGUUGAUGGGAGACAGGUGUGAAGACUGAGGCAGAGUGAGUGGGUAAUUGGGACCGGAGACCAUGGCCACACCCACAACCGGGGAACACAAACGAACCGCCACUAGGGGGCAGAGUGCAUGACACGAAAGGUACUCUGACACACAGGUGAUAGUAGACUGCACUGAACUGAAAUGUCAAACCCCUUCCUCACUGCUUUUGCAGAGUGAGAUGUACUCCAAUUACAAAUCUCACACCACAGUAAAGGGACUGAUUGGUGUGUCCCCACACGGUGCUGUCACCUUUGUGUCAGCCCUGUACUCGGGUUCUGUUAGUGAUAAAGAACUGUUUAAGCAGUCUGGAAUCAUUCCUUUACUAGAUAAAGACAUGGCUGUAAUGGUUGACAAAGGCUUUACAGUUGAUGAUUUAGUACCGGGUAAAGUACACAGACCACCUUUUCUGGGAAAGAACUCUCAGCUGUCUCGUGAAGAGGUUUUAGCUACUCAGGACAUUGCGCGGUUAAGAAUACACGUGGAAUUAUUAUUGACAAAUAAUUUGUCAAUAAAGUAGGUCCAUAGUGGGAUUCCUGUCUUUUUGGUCACAUCAAUGGAUAAUUCACCAUGGUAUUCAAAAUAAAUUAUCCUCUUAAUGAAUAUUCUAAAUCAACCAUGACUUGUGUGAGAAGCUAGUGAUAGCCAGAAGCCUCUGUGCGCCCUACCACCCACAAACUAAUGGCUUAGUGGAAAAACUCAAUGGCACCAUUCAAGGGUAACAAAUUGUACUUUUUUCACUAAAUGUAUUCUGAUAACAUAUGGGGAAUGACUGAUUUCCUUUUUUCAAUUCAAGUUUUUUAUUUUUUAUGGUGCAGGACCACCCCAGCGACUGGGAUAAAUACAUCAGGUCAACUGUUUUUGGCCUUCAAACCAAAAUGCAGUUAACUACAAAAUACAGUCCAUACUACCUAAUGUAUGGGAGGGAGGCCCGUUACCCUCUGAAAUUCCCAUUAAGUGGCAGAUAAAUGAGGACCACAUUGCUGCCCUUACAAAGAAUGAGGAUGUGAGCAGCCUCACCCAAAACCUACCCGAUGUUUAUGCAAAAGUGGUG